UANAAGAACNNNCNNGGUCNNGACAUGCAUCCUGUCGUCGGUGAAAGCNGGNUAGUGGUNCNAUACANGGUUUGCACAGGUGCUGCAUGGCUGUCGUCAGCUCGUGUCGUGAGAUGUUGGGUUAAGUCCCGCAACGAGNGCAACCCCUGUGAUUUGUUGCCAGCGAGUCAAGUCCGGCACUCGAAUCAGACUGCCUCGAUCAACGAGGAGGAAGGUGGGGACGACGUCAAGUCCGUAUGGCCCUUACGACCAGGGCUGCACACGUACUACAAUGCCCAGUACAAUGUGAACCGAAACCGCGAGGUGGAGGAAAUCGAUAAAACUGGGCUCAGUUCAGAUUGCAGGCUGCAACUCGCCUGCAUGAAGUUGGAAUCGCUAGUAAUGGCGCAUCANCUACNGCGCCNUGAAUACNUUCCCGGGUCUUGUACACACCGA
rnacentral:rRNA from 1 species